GGACGCCGAGGGGGCGCGCGCGGCCGCGAGGUGCGGAGCCGCGGGAAUGGAUGAGUAGGGCCGCCCUCCGUGGAAACACGGUUUUGAAGAGGGCCUGCGUACACGCUGGGCCCUUCACAUCUGUAGACGGUGGAGGCCAGGAGAAAGGAUACUGUGUGCGAUGAGGUAAAGCAUGUGAGAGUGCUUUGUAACCGGAAAGUGCCUUUCAAAACAGCUCCUGGUUUGCUGCUGGUACCUGAUAGAGAUGGAACUCCUGACCAUGGGACAUCAAGUGACUAUGUGAAUGAUCGAACUACUACUCGUCAUGAACUGGUGUUAUCUGAUUCACCAAUCAUACAACUGGAUGGGCAUAACAGCAGUUCACUCCCUACAAAACUGGGUACAUGGCCACAACUAAACUGAAUAAGCAGUAGAUUUUGGCAUGCCCAAAUCUGGAAGUGAAAAAAGCAACAACAACAAAAAAAACAGAGCAGCAAGGAAAAUCGGUAAGCUUUACCCUGCAGCAAAAAUAUCAAUCUGUUCUUAAGGAAUUAAGUGCUUCACAAAGGUGAGUUCUCCAUGUGACUAAGGCUUCAAUUAUUCAUCGUGGACAGUAACCCAGUGCAGUUUGAAGGUCCUUGUCAUUACAGGUGGCCUAGUAAAUGUUUGACAACUAGCUCACCAGGAAAGAAAAAAAAAAAAAGCUUUGAUUAUGGUGUUUGCAAAUUUCUUGGGGUAAAUAUCCCA